rnacentral:SRP_RNA from 1 species
CCGUGAUAGUUGACAAUUUAUCAUUCUAAAGGAUAUACUACGAAAAGCCGUGUGGUCGGCUGGGCUUUGGCCGGUAUGGCAGCCCGAUAUAAGUGACGUUGAUCUUCGGGUCUUGCGCAAUGCGUGCCUGCGAACCGUGUCAGGGUGGGAACACAGCAGCACUAAGUAGGAAUGUCGCAUGUGACGUGAGGGUUCCUGGAAGGAGUUAACUGUAUCGGUAACGCAUACCGGUGUCACUCUCCGGCCGCAUGG